CACUGUAGACAUCUUGUCUAGGAAACUAGACCGUAUACGUUUUCCUAAAGAUGCAACCUCACAGCGGGAAGUCAAAUAGGUGUUUCACGCACUUUCUGGCUUUCCCAAUGUGCUUGGCUGCAUCGACGGUACUCUAAUUGCAAUCGUCCGUCCACAAGCAUGCGAGGAGGCAGCGUAUGUUUGCCGGAAGGGAUUUCACGCUGUAAACAUCCAAGCCAUAUGCGACGGAGAUCUAAGGUUCACCAAUGUUGUAUGCAGAUGGCCAGGUGCAACACAUGAUAGCUACAUCUUUAAUAAUAGUACAAUUGUAAGCUACCUUUAAGAGUCUGGAGGUAGAAAUGGAUGGUUGCUUGGAGAUUCAGGACAUGCCUGCAGACCAUAGAUGGUCACCCCCCUGAGCAACCCCCAGACACAGGGAGAGGAGAGAUUUAACCGAGCGCUCUGUAAAAAAAGGAACACAGUGGAAAGAGCUUUUGGCCUAAUGAAGUCUCGGUUUCGAUGCCUACACAAGUCAACGGGCUGCCUGCCUUUCAAACCAGACAAGUGUCAUCGGCUCGUGUAUGGUGUGUGCCAGCUACACAACCUGUGUAUCAACCAUCGCCUUCCACCCAUGCCAGCCCUACCUGCAGAGGAUGGCAAUGACCAGCCAUAUGACGGUCCACUUAGAGAUGGACACCAGACAAGGAAACGCUUGAUAGAAAGCCCUUUCAACUAACAUAUAUGGCGCUCUCUGUCGAUCUGCAAGCGUUCCCGCAUGAUGGCCACCUUCUCCCUCUCAAGCUGGACCACUUCAGCUGCCUGGGCUGCACUGUCUUCUAAAAAACAAACGACAAUCAUGUCAUAUCCACAAUAAAUUUCAACAAUUUCAGAUACAAACAUUGUUUUGU